UACGGGGGGGGCAAGCGUUGUUCGGAAUUACUGGGCGUAAAGGGCUCGUAGGCGGCCAACUAAGUCAGACGUGAAAUCCCCAGGCUCAACCUGGGAACUGCGUCUGAUACUGGUUGGCUUGAAUCCGGGAGAGGGAUGCAGAAUUCCAGGUGUAGCGGUGAAAUGCGUAGAUAUCUGGAGGAAUACCGGUGGCGAAGGCGGCAUCCUGGACUGGCAUCGACGCUGAGGAGCGAAAGCUAGGGGAGCAAACGGG
rnacentral:rRNA from 1 species